GCGCCCGUAGCUCAAUUGGAUAGAGCGUCUGACUACGGAUCAGAAGGUUGGGAGUUCGAGUCUUCCCGGGCGCG
rnacentral:tRNA from 3 species